AGUCGGGGGGCGGAGGGGUGACCGUGCCCGCGUCCCCUUAGGGUACUCGGUGGCCGUGGGAGAGUUCGACGGCGACCCCAAAACCAAAGAGUUCGUGGUGGGGGUCCCCAAUAAGAGCAACACGAGGGGCGAGGUGGAGAUCUUCAGUGCGGGGCUGUCGCUGCGCCGGCUGCAUGGCAUCCCCAGUGAGCAGGUACUGCCCCCAUCACUGCCCCAUAGCGCCCCAUAGCGCCCCAUAUACUGCCCCAUAGCGCCCCAUGCACCGUCCCAUAGCAUCCCAUGUACCGC